rnacentral:rRNA from 1 species
AGCUGAAACUUAAAGGAAUUGACGGAAGCGCACACAAGAAAUGGGGCCUGCGGCUUAAUUUGACUCAACACGGUGCAACUCACCCGGCCCGGACACAGGAAGGAUUGACAGAUUAAGAGCUCUUUCUUGAUUCUGUGACAGGUGGUGCAUGGCCGUUUCUAGUUGGUGGAGUGAUUUGUCUGCUUUAUUGCGAUAACGAGCGAGACUCUAGCCUACUAAAUAGACUAUGUAUCCUCUUGAGUACMUAGGUCUUCUUAGAGGGACAAGCGGUGUUCAGCCGCACGAAACUGAGCAAAAACAGGUCAGGAUGCCCUUAGAUGUUCGGGGCCGCACGCGCGCCACAUUGAAGGAAUCAGCGUGUGCUUUCCCUCUCCGAUAGGAGUGGGUAACCCGUUGAAACUCCUUCGUGCUAGGGAUAGGAAAUUGUAAUUGUUUUCCUUGAACGAGGAAUUCCCAGUAAGCAUUGAGUCAUCAGCUCGUGUUGAUUACGUCCCUGCGCUUUGUGCACACCGCCCGUCGCUAUUAUCGAUGAAUUUUGGAGUGAGAUCAUCGGACCGACUAUGAUCUCUGUGGUUUUGCUAUGGAGUCUGUGUUGGAAAGAUGACCGAACUUGAAUAUUAGAG